CUUCACAAAGUCAACCUGCCCUCGGGACGGGGAUAAUCUCGGGAAACUGAGGCUAAUACCUGGUAGAUCAAGAUUCCUGGAAUGGGUUUUGGUCCAAAUGAGAUAACGGCAUCUUCGUUAUUUUCGCCCAAGGAUGGGACUGCGGCCGAUCAGGCUGUUGGUGGGGUAAAGGCCCACCAAACCAGUAACCGGUACGGGCUUUGAGAGAAGGAGCCCGGAGAUGGACACUGAGACAAGGGUCCAGGUCCUACGGGGCGCAGCAGGCGCGAAACCUUCGCAAUGCGCGCAAGCGCGACGAGGUUAUUCCGAGUGAUUUCCGCUGAGGAAAUCUUUUCUCAGAUCUAAAACGUCUGGGGAAUAAGGGGAGGGCAAGUCUGGUGUCAGCCGCCGCGGUAAUACCAGCUCCUCGAGUGGUCAGGGCGUUUAUUGGGCCUAAAGCAUCCGUAGCCUGCUCGGUAGGUCUCCUGUUAAAUCCAAUGGCUCAACCGUUGGCCUGCAGGAGAUACCGCCGGGCUAGGAGGCGGGAGAGGCGGACGGUACUCCGAGGGUAGGGGUAAAAUCCUUUGAUCCCCGGAAGA
rnacentral:rRNA from 1 species